UACGAAGGGGGCUAGCGUUGUUCGGAAUUACUGGGCGUAAAGCGUGCGCAGGCGGUUUUGUAAGUCAGGUGUGAAAUCCCCGGGCUUAACCUGGGAAUGGCAUUUGGGACUGCAAGGCUGGAGUACGGCAGAGGAGACUGGAAUUCCUGGUGUAGCAGUGAAAUGCGUAGAGAUCAGGAGGAAUACCGAUGGCGAAGGCAGGUCUCUGGGCUGAUACUGACGCUCAUGCACGAAAGCGUGGGGAGCAAACAGG
rnacentral:rRNA from 1 species